rnacentral:tRNA from 1 species
GUCCGGGUGGCGGAAUAGGUAGACGCGCUAGCUUGAGGUGCUAGUGGCCGUAUAGGCUGUGGAGGUUCAAGUCCUCUCUCGGACACGA